GGAGUGUGUCAGUCAGCAGUGGGCGGAAAGUGGAGGUGAGAGAACCAAAGAGUGGCUGCUCGACCCCGCUGAUCAGAACAUGGACCCCCAUUCGACCUACAUGCGCUUACGCGUUUCCUACCAGCUGAGGGAAAUUACAGGUUUGUGUGGAGGAAGUUUGGAGAUUUUGGACAGAGGGGGGGAGGAGGGAAUGAUAGAAAAAGUGCCAACUGAGCCAAAAUCCUUCUGCAAUUUCCCUGAAACUCAAAGUUAUAAACUAAAUUCCGUCGCGAAAGCGUGCCACGCGUGUGCCAUGGAGGAUUUCUGGCUUGUGCCACUGCAGGUUUUGCCAGAAGUCUCAGCCCGGAAGAGCUUCUCUCAACUCGGCACCGUUUGGCGCUUGUUUUCCGUCAACACCGAGCGGCGGGCGUGGAAAAAUCCCACCACAACUAUUAAUCAUGUGGGGCGGACAUAGACAGCAUCCCACUCCCACACCAGCCUUUGUCCUCUCGAAGUACAAGUUGGGCGGCAAACUUUUUAAAGACUGGAACAGAAGUGGAGCUGCUCUUAUUAAUUCACCCUCAGUACUCCAGAAAGAGAAGAAUAUUGAUGAUUUAGAGUUUGGGUUCAAGUUUUACGCACGGAGUUAAAACGCAUGAUAAUGAAAGUAUGAAAGUAGGACUAAUUCUGAUUUGAAACUUGAGGUUUUGACGUUUGUAUUUUGUUCUCCUUUUGUCAUCUGCAGGUAGAGCUGUGGGUUGGACGGCAUGACUGCACACUGGAAGCUAAUCCCUCGCUGCCUUUCGCCAGCGCACCUGAACUCUUCCCUGACCCGGGCAGAGGCUUUAUAGGGAGUCGAGUGGGAAGUUAUUUGGAGUUCAAAAACAAGCUGAAGCUGGAAACCAAAAAGGCCUCAGCUAGAAGCAGACGUAUUUUACUUUUUUUGCACUACAAGACUUAUCUCUUGCUUGAAAAGUUGUUCUUGAUUGAUUACAUUUCAGACCUUGGCUGUUUUAGCAUUGAAAACUUUCAGAUUUAUUUACACAAAUCAGGGCUCCUUAUCAUUGUCAGCGAAGAGGAGCUAAAGGCACAGACCUCUGGAUGUUGGCCAGGCAGAAGUCCAUAUCUUCCCACAAUGUUGACACUCGGAGCUCUCAACAGGCAGGCGUGGGUUAAAGAUACUUUCAACUGGAGAUAAAAACUCUGUGAGGUUUACAGCGGCCAACAUCAAGGCUAACGCGAAACUCGGCGCUUUUGCAGAAAGUGGAGACGUCUCUAAGGAGGACCAGGGUGGCGUAAAUGUUUGCGUAAAGUUGGUAAUAAUAAAGUAUUUUGAAUAUUCUUGCUGAA
rnacentral:lncRNA from 1 species